rnacentral:ncRNA from 1 species
GGAAUUACAUUGAAGAAGGAAAGUAGCAUAUAAUGAAGUUUUAAGAGAGAGCAUCAUAGCUGGGAGAUGCUUAAUGGAUUGUAUGUGAAGUGCCCUUUGGAGUAGUGCACCGAAUACAGUAGGCUGCACCGUGAUUCGCACGUUACAGCGAUACGGCAUGAAUGUGCCGGACUAAGAGGGUUUUUCCAAUUAGAGUGGAACCGCGAAUAUACUUCGUCUCUAGC